rnacentral:rRNA from 1 species
UACAGAGGUCCCAAGCGUUGUUCGGAUUCACUGGGCGUAAAGGGUGCGUAGGUGGUGAGGUAAGUCGACUGUGAAAUCUCCGGGCUUAACCCGGAAAGGUCAGCCGAUACUGCGGGGCUAGAGUGCAGAAGGGGCAACUGGAAUUCUCGGUGUAGCGGUGAAAUGCGUAGAUAUCGAGAGGAACACCUGCGGCGAAGGCGGGUUGCUGGGCUGACACUGACGCUGAGGCGCGAAAGCUAGGGGAGCGAACGGG